GGGGCGCUAGCUCAAUUGGCAGAGUAGCGGGCUUUUAACCCGUGGGUUGUGGGUUCGAGUCCCACGCGCCCUACGA
rnacentral:tRNA from 1 species